CGCUAUUCCAGGAACCACCACAGCCACUUUCGGUCGCCGCUGCCGCUUGGGGUGGCUGUCGGGGUUGCCACCAGAUCAGUUCAGAGAUCACCACUGCUCUGUUUUCUUUUAUAGUAAGUAUUUAUGUUCUAAUAACCCCUGCGUUAGUGUCCUGUUACGUGUAUUAAAGUCUUUGCAAUAUUAAUGUGUUAUGAAUUAGUAACCAAGCUUACAUGUGGCAUUUGGGGCUGUUUCUGUUAUUGAGAGAGCAAACGGAGUAGAGGUUUUGGUUGUCGUCGAUUCGGGUUGAGGCGAAAAGAAUUCUGUGAGGCAUUUGGGUUGUGAUUUCAACAUGUCAAGGUAGGGACUUUUUUAUACAAACUAAUUUAGUUUAAAUUGGAAUUGUUAUAAAUAGAUAUGACUUGCUAAAUGUAUUUCUGGUGAUUAUGUAAGUCUUAUUCAUUAUCUGAUUUGUCUUGGAUGAAUAUGGUUUUCUGUUAAAUUGAAAUAAUGUCUGAUUUUGUUAAA